rnacentral:rRNA from 1 species
AAGUCGAGCGGACAGAUGGGAGCUUGCUCCCUGAUGUUAGCGGCGGACGGGUGAGUAACACGUGGGUAACCUGCCUGUAAGACUGGGAUAACUCCGGGAAACCGGGGCUAAUACCGGAUGCUUGUUUGAACCGCAUGGUUCAAACAUAAAAGGUGGCUUCGGCUACCACUUACAGAUGGACCCGCGGCGCAUUAGCUAGUUGGUGAGGUAAUGGCUCACCAAGGCAACGAUGCGUAGCCGACCUGAGAGGGUGAUCGGCCACACUGGGACUGAGACACGGCCCAGACUCCUACGGGAGGCAGCAGUAGGGAAUCUUCCGCAAUGGACGAAAGUCUGACGGAGCAACGCCGCGUGAGUGAUGAAGGUUUUCGGAUCGUAAAGCUCUGUUGUUAGGGAAGAACAAGUACCGUUCGAAUAGGGCGGUACCUUGACGGUACCUAACCAGAAAGCCACGGCUAACUACGUGCCAGCAGCCGCGGUAAUACGUAGGUGGCAAGCGUUGUCCGGAAUUAUUGGGCGUAAAGGGCUCGCAGGCGGUUCCUUAAGUCUGAUGUGAAAGCCCCCGGCUCAACCGGGGAGGGUCAUUGGAAACUGGGGAACUUGAGUGCAGAAGAGGAGAGUGGAAUUCCACGUGUAGCGGUGAAAUGCGUAGAGAUGUGGAGGAACACCAGUGGCGAAGGCGACUCUCUGGUCUGUAACUGACGCUGAGGAGCGAAAGCGUGGGGAGCGAACAGGAUUAGAUACCCUGGUAGUCCACGCCGUAAACGAUGAGUGCUAAGUGUUAGGGGGUUUCCGCCCCUUAGUGCUGCAGCUAACGCAUAAGCACU